rnacentral:rRNA from 1 species
AUUGAACGCUGGCGGCAGGCCUAACACAUGCAAGUCGAGCGGAAGAAGGGUGCUUGCUUGUGGAUCCAGCGGCGGAAGGGUGAGUAUUGCCUAGGAAUCUCCCUGGCAGUGGGGGAUAAUGUCCGGAAACGGGUGCUAAUACUGCAUACGCCCAGAGGGAGAAAGUGGGGGAUCUUCGGAACUUACGCUCUCAGAUGAGUGUAGGCCGGACUUGCUAGUUUGUGGGGUAAAGGGUUACCAAGCCGACGAUCCGUAACUGGUCUGGGGGGAUGAUCAGUCCCACUGGAAGUGAAACGCGGUCCAGGCUCCUAAGGGAAGCAGCAGUCGGGAAUGUUAGGCAGUUGGCGGAAACCUUGUCCAACCAUGCCGCGUGUGUUGAAGAAGUCUUCGGAGUGGAAAGCACUUUUUGUUGGGAGAAAAGGCAGUAAGUUGAUACCUUGCUGGUUUGACGGUACCAACAAAAUAAGCACCGGCUAACUUCGUG